rnacentral:misc_RNA from 1 species
AACUUUCGGCAACGGAUCUCGUGGUUCUGGCAUCGAUGAAGAACGCAGCGAAAUGCGACAAGUAAUGUGAAUUGCAGAAUUCAGUGAAUCAUCGAAUCUUUGAACGCACAUUGCGCUCGCCAGUAUUCUGGCGAGCAUGCCUGUUCGAGCGUCAUUUCAACCAUCAAGCUCUGCUUGCGUUGGGGAUCCGCGGCUGCCCGCGGUCCCUCAAAAACAGUGGCGGGCUCGCUAGUCACACCGAGCGUAGUAACUCUACAUCGUUCUGGUCGUACGGCGGGUUCUUGCCGUAAAACCCCCCAAUUUCUAAGGUUGACCUCGGAUCAGGUAGGAAUACCCGCUGAACUUAAGCAUAUCAAUAAGCGGAGGCU